rnacentral:rRNA from 1 species
CCUACGGGAGGCAGCAGUCGGGAAUUUUGGGCAAUGGGCGCAAGCCUGAUCCAGCAAUGCCGCGUGAGUGAAGAAGGCCUUCGGGUUGUAAAGCUCUUUUGUCAGGGAAGAAACGACAUCCUCUAAUACAGGGUGUUAAUGACGGUACCUGAAGAAUAAGCACCGGCUAACUACGUGCCAGCAGCCGCGGUAAU